rnacentral:rRNA from 1 species
CCUGAAUCAGUGUGUGUGUUAGUGGAAGCGUCUGGAAAGGCGCGCGAUACAGGGUGACAGCCCCGUACACAAAAAUGCACAUGCUGUGAGCUCGAUGAGUAGGGCGGGACACGUGGUAUCCUGUCUGAAUAUGGGGGGACCAUCCUCCAAGGCUAAAUACUCCUGACUGACCGAUAGUGAACCAGUACCGUGAGGGAAAGGCGAAAAGAACCCCGGCGAGGGGAGUGAAAAAGAACCUGAAACCGUGUACGUACAAGCAGUGGGAGCACGCUUAGGCGUGUGACUGCGUACCUUUUGUAUAAUGGGUCAGCGACUUAUAUUCUGUAGCAAGGUUAACCGAAUAGGGGAGCCGAAGGGAAACCGAGUCUUAACUGGGCGUUAAGUUGCAGGGUAUAGACCCGAAACCCGGUGAUCUAGCCAUGGGCAGGUUGAAGGUUGGGUAACACUAACUGGAGGACCGAACCGACUAAUGUUGAAAAAUUAGCGGAUGACUUGUGGCUGGGGGUGAAAGGCCAAUCAAACCGGGAGAUAGCUGGUUCUCCCCGAAAGCUAUUUAGGUAGCGCCUCGUGAAUUCAUCUCCGGGGGUAGAGCACUGUUUCGGCAAGGGGGUCAUCCCGACUUACCAACCCGAUGCAAACUGCGAAUACCGGAGAAUGUUAUCACGGGAGACACACGGCGGGUGCUAACGUCCGUCGUGAAGAGGGAAACAACCCAGACCGCCAGCUAAGGUCCCAAAGUCAUGGUUAAGUGGGAAACGAUGUGGGAAGGCCCAGACAGCCAGGAUGUUGGCUUAGAAGCAGCCAUCAUUUAAAGAAAGCGUAAUAGCUCACUGGUCGAGUCGGCCUGCGCGGAAGAUGUAACGGGGCUAAACCAUG